rnacentral:rRNA from 1 species
CUGUUUGAUCCUGGCAGAGGUUACUGCUAUCGGGGUUCGAUUAAGCCAUGCGAGUCAAAUGUUCUUCGUGAACAUGGCGAACUGCUCAGUAACACGUGGAUAAYCUACCCUUAGGUCUGGAAUAACCCCGGGAAACUGGGGAUAAUACCGGAUAGAUCAUAGACGUUGGAAUGCCCUAUGGUCUAAAGCUCCGGCGCCUAAGGAUGAGUCUGCGGUCUAUCAGGUUGUAGUGGGUGUAACGUACCUACUAGCCGACGACGGAUACGGGUUGUGAGAGCAAGAGCCCGGAGAUGGAUUCUGAGACACGAAUCCAGGCCCUACGGGGUGCAGCAGGCGCGAACACUUCACAAUGCGGGAAACCGCGAUAAGGGAACCCCGAGUGCCAGCACCAAGUGUUGGCUGUCCAGAUGAUUAAAUCUCAUUCGUUAGCAAGGGCCGGGCAAAGCCGGUGACAGCCGCCGCGGUAACACCGGCGGCCCGAGUGGUAACCGUUUUUAUUGGGUCUAAAGGGUCCGUAGCCGGUCUGAUCAGUCCUUUGGGAAAUCUGGAAGCUUAACUGUCAGGCUUCUAAGGGAUACUGUCAGGCUAGGGACCGGGAGAGGUAAGGGGUACUCCAAGGGUAGGAGUGAAAUCUUGUAAUCCUUGGGGGACCAUCUGUGGCGAAGGCGCCUUACCAGAGCGGGUCCGACGGUGAGGGACGAAAGCUAGGGGAGCAAACCGGAUUAGAUACCCGGGUAGUCCUAGCUGUAAACGAUGCUCGCUAGGUGUCAGGCACGGUGCGUCCGUGUUUGGUGCCGUAGGGAAGCCGAGAAGCGAGCCACCUGGAAAGUACGGUCGCAAGGCUGAAACUUAAAGGAAUUGGCGGGGGAGCACUACAACGGGUGAGCCUGCGGUUUAAUUGGAUUCAACGCCGGAAACUCACCGGGUGCAGCAGCAACAUGUAGGUCAGGCUGAAGGUCUUACCUGAAUCGCUGAGAGGAGGUGCAUGGCCGUCGUCAGUUCGUACUGUGAAGCAUCCUGUUAAGUCAGGCAACGAGCGAGACCC